rnacentral:rRNA from 1 species
GAAGAAAGCUGGCGGCGUGCUUAACACAUGCAAGUCGAACGAAGAGCGAUGGAAGCUUGCUUCUAUCAAUCUUAGUGGCGAACGGGUGAGUAACGCGUAAUCAACCUGCCCUUCAGAGGGGGACAACAGUUGGAAACGACUGCUAAUACCGCAUACGAUCUGACCUCGGCAUCGAGGAUAGAUGAAAGGUGGCCUCUACAUGUAAGCUAUCAUUUAAGGAGGGGAUUGCGUCUGAUUAGCUAGUUGGCGGGGUAACGUCCCACGAAGGCGAUGAUCAGUAGCCGGUCUGAGAGGAUGAACGGCCACACUGGGACUGAGACACGGCCCAGACUCAUACGGGAGGCAGCAGUGGGGAAUCUUCCGCAAUGGGCGAAAGACUGACGGAGCAACGCCGCGUGAGUGAUGACGGCCUUCGGGUUGUAAAGGUCUGUUAAUCGGGACGAAAGGCCUUUUUGCGAAUAGUGAGAAGGAUUGACGGUACCGGAAUAGAAAGCCACGGCUAACUACGUG